AUGAGUAAACUAAACAUGCACGUUAUCCUUCUUGCUGUACAUAUGUAUGUAUACCUACACGCACAUAUACAAUCUGAAAUCCCCAAAUUCUGUUUGUGCUGUGCUAAAUUGAUUUUUCUCUGUAUGGAGUUUCUUGCACGGGUGUCUCAGCCUCAAGGGGAAGAUGUCAGGAAAGAAGCUGUCACCAUCACCAGGAACUCCUCAGCCCAGGAUGGAGGCUCCCCAUUGCAAGGCUACAUCAUGGAAAGACGGAAAAAAAAAGGUACUCAACGGAUACAGCAUGAGUUCAACCUUGCAGGCCCUGGAUUUCCUAGCGCACCUUCAACCACUUGUUGCAAAGGAUCCCAUCAGUGUAUUUCUUUCACUAUUUAAUGGCUAGUCUUUCUAAACACGUAUGCUAUGACAAGAUCUAUGCAUUUAUGACUGAAGUCUGAAGGAGUCUGGCAAACUUCAUCCUGACUCAAUGUAAGAAUUUCAUUGUAUUUGCAGUUUAACUAAUGAAGGCCUUAAUACUGCUGUCUGUAAGAGUAAUUACAAGUUCCUGGAAGUGUGAUAUUAUUCAGCUAAAAUGUGCAAGUAUUAAGAUAUGAAUAUAGGAAGGAAUUCUCACCAGGAACAGCUGUGUAUAUGCAAAAAUCAAACAGAUCAACAUGAUAGCGGUGCUCUAAGGGGGAGAUACCUUUAACGCUUGAUGUUCACGUACAGUUUGCCAAGGGCCCUAAUGUAUGACAAAGAAAAUAUUUUGUUGUGAAAUUUCUAACAUCUUUAUGCUGCUUUCAUCAGUUCCCCAUCACCUUUUUUAAAAGCCGGGGGUUUUGUGUUCUUUUUCUCUUCUCCCUUAAGACUGGGUUUGUAGCAGGAAAGGUCUGUGCCUAAUUUUGGACUGAUUGAAAUCACAAACUCUAAAGGAUUGUGGUGCUUCAGAAAUGCUGAACUGGGGAAAUUUUACUUUGUUAUAUAGAAUUCUUACUCUGUGUGUCCGUAUAACUAAAGCAUUUGAAAAACAAAAGUUUGUCAGAGGCCAUCAAUAAAUGGCUUAAACUAUCAUUGUAAUCUUUUAAU
rnacentral:lncRNA from 1 species